rnacentral:rRNA from 1 species
CGUAGGGUGCAAGCAUUGUCCGGAUUUAUUGGGCGUAAAGAGCUCGUAGGCGGCUUGUCACGUCGGAUGUGAAAACUCGGGGCUCAACCCCGAGCCUGCAUUCGAUACGGGCUAGCUAGAGUGUUGCAGGGGAGACUGGAAUUCCUGGUGUAGCGGUGAAAUGCGCAGAUAUCAGGAGGAACACCGGUGGCGAAGGCGGGUCUCUGGGCAACUACUGACGCUGAGGAGCGAAAGCGUGGGGAGCGAACAGGAUUAGAUACCCUGGUAGUCCACGCCGUAAACGUUGGGCGCUAGGUGUGGGGAACCUUCCACGUUCUCCGUGCCGUAGCUAACGCAUUAAGCGCCCCGCCUGGGGAGUACGGCCGCAAGGCUA